UACGUAGGGGGCUAGCGUUGUCCGGAAUCAUUGGGCGUAAAGCGCGUGUAGGCGGUUCGGUAAGUCCGCUGUGAAAGUCGGGGGCUCAACCCUCGAAUGCCGGUGGAUACUGUCGGACUAGAGUACGGAAGAGGCGAGUGGAAUUCCUGGUGUAGCGGUGAAAUGCGCAGAUAUCAGGAGGAACACCAAUUGCGAAGGCAGCUCGCUGGGACGUUACUGACGCUGAGGUGCGAAAGCGUGGGGAGCAAACAGG
rnacentral:rRNA from 1 species